rnacentral:lncRNA from 1 species
CUCUGAGUCAGAUGGGGAAAGUAAGGGGCCGUGGGACCCUCCUGGGUGGUAGGAGCUGGUGCUUGGAGCUAGACAAGAGGCUUUCUUCAGCAUAAAUCUCUACUGAAGUCUGUGGCUGGCUUUGUCACCCCUCACUGAAAAUUCGGUUCAUGAACUUCUUUGAAAUUUUCAUUUAUUGAACAUCGACCUUAUUCUCAACCUCAUGUGAGGCUAUUUUUUGCAAGACAGAAGAAGAUACCAUCUCUGCCCUGAGAGAGUUCACAAUCUAGUUGGGGAGAGAGGUCCGGCAGUACCCCCAUAGAAUGUAAGUUAGCUUUGAGGGGAAGUUCACUGUGAGCUGGGGUGGGGGGUGAGGGGGAACAUGAGGAAAGGCUUCCUGAAAAAGAGUACUGAAUCUGGAGCUGGAAAACCUAGAUUCAAAUCCUGACUGCUAUAUAUUACCUGAGUGACACUGGGCAAUCAAUCAGUUAACUAUUUAUUAAGUGCCCACUAUGUGCCAGGCACUGUGCUAGUCACAGACAAAAAUUAAACACUCCCUGCCCUUAAGGAGCUUACACUCUUAUCGGGAAGAGAACACAGUUAUAUAAAUUAAAUUAAAUACGUACUAUACAAAUGCAUUAAUUACAAUACAAGGUAGUUUGGAGAGGAAGAACUGGUACUGGGGCGAUAGGGGAUGGAAUAAAGGCUUCACUUAGCAGGUGCUCAAACUGAAUCUUGUGUAGGGAGACAGAGGUAGGGAGGGGGUCAAUGCCAGGUGUGGGGAAGAGCCAGGGCAAACAGCAGGAGGCCCAGUGUAUAGGAAUAGGACUGAUGGCUAACAAGGCCGAGGCCACUUUUUAAUACCACAGUUUCUAUUUGACCCAAAAAACAACAGGAAACCACAGCUUUUUUUGACUAAGGAAAUGACAAGGUCAUACCUGCACUUUGGGAAAAUAACUUCAGCUGUCAUAGGAAGGAUGGAUUUGAGAAGGAAAGAAAUCUGAGUCGAGAAGACAGGUAGAAGGCUAUUUCAUAGGCCUGGCACAAGGUGUUGAGAGUGUGAAUUGGCAUUGCUGGCUGUAUGAGUAGUGAGGAGAGACAAGUCACUUAAAAAAAAAAAAAGUCUGUGCCUCAGUUUCCCCAUCUGUAAAAUGAUAUGAUUGGGCAAGAUGAGCUCUAAUUUCCCUUCUUGUUUUAAAUAUCCAAUCCACAGCAUUACAUUAAGACUUGAAGGACAAGAGGGAUUUUAAAAGGGAGAGAGGGCAAGGACAUUUCUAAGCAUAGUACAAAGCCCAAGCAAGAGGCUAUGGGCAGGGAUGAUCCUGGCGUGGUUAAAAUAUAAUACUGGCUGAAGCAGAGGAGAUAUGAAAGGGGAGAGCAGGAGAUAAGGCUUAAAAGCUUAACAGCCAGAUCAUGAAGGGCUGGCAAGACCAGGAUCAGCAGUUUGGACUCCACCUCAGGAAAGAGGGAACACAGCAAGAGACAACAUGAUUAGAGAGUGCAUAAGAAAUAGCACUAAAAGGGAAAGAAUGGAGGCAAGGAGAACAGUUAGGAGGCUGUUUUGAUGGCCUCGACCAAGGAUAAUGAAUGGUAGCAUCCAGAAUGGACAGGAAAGGAUGAAUCAGGUUACAGGGCUAAAAUCAAAAGGACUUGGCAAAUAACUUAGAUAUUGGGGAAAGAACUAACCCAAACACUUUGUUCUAUGUACAAGGAUCCUGGAGAUUGAGCCUUCUCUAAUCAGACAGGGCUUUGGGGGCCAGGUAAGGGCCAGAUAUAAAUAGCUGCAGGACCAGCUUCACAAGCUGAGCUGGAAGCAUUAAUCACCUGUGGACCCCUGGUGCCCUCUCCUGGUGAAAGAGCGCUCUACAGUCUAUCACAUGGAGUAAUUGGAGAUUUCCCUCCCCAGAGCACCCCUAGCACUUCAGGAUCUGUCCUGUCUGGG